UCCGAGACAGGAUUGCGCUCUGCUCUUAAACCGAUUGGGAAUAUGUGCAGAAAGAGAAGGACGACAUGUCAUGACGUAUUCACCAUUGACAGAACAUGCUGCUGCACAGACAAAAGACAAGGUGUUGAUUUUGCUUCCUGACAAACACGCAUCCGUUUUCACUCCCCGCUCCACUCCGCCCAAAAAGAUGCGCAAGUCGCGGCGGAUCGACGUCUCGUGGACCAGUUUUAUCUUCCCUCUGAAACAGACAACGCGCCGGAGGCCCCCGAAGGUAUCGUCCUGGAGCCGUGUUGGGGGGGGGUACAGGAUGUGUGUUUGACAUAGCGUAUCCGCACACCCGGCUAAACAGUCGCUGCAGAGGAAUAAUUGCCUCUUUUGCAGAUGACAGGAACAUUAAAGGCCGCACGGCACUCCCUGGUAUUUCAAUACGACUGCCGGUGUAAAUAGGAGGCGAUGGCUGGUGAUCCACAGUCACGUCAGGCUCCGUCUCAGUGGAACCAAAGGUCACGCAGCUUUGGGAGAAUUGUUCAUCACAUUGUUCAUCGCCUGUCGCGUUGUUGUUGUUGUUUCAAAGAGAGAUCGAAUUCGUUGCUUUUUAUUUGCUGAAUCCAUUUUCAUUUCACCACACGAUGAACCCCAUAAUGCACACGGCAAAGCGGCGUCACUCUGCAGAUGAGAGACGGCCCGGGUUGAGUGUUACUGCGCCGCACCAGAAGCUCCAACCAUCGAGAGGAAAUGUGUUGCGUGAUGGCUUUACUUUACCAAAGUUCAACCCUUAACCCGUCCGUCUGAGAGUCGCUCAAUUCAGUUCAAUUGAUCUGAUAAAAAAUAUAUAUAUAUUUUUUUUUUUGCAUGGUGAGUAGAUUUUCCUUUAGUGUAUCACAGGUUGGAAUAUGUUUAAUAUCCAUAGCAAUAUUUGAGUGAAUGAGGUAUGAGAUGUAAAAAUGUCCAUCAUUCUCUGAGAAGACACUGGUGGAUGUCAAGUUGCCUGCCAAUGCAUGUCUAGAGGAUGUGGAGACCUUUAUUGAUGUUCGCUUCAUAGGCCUCAUCUCACCUGUCACCAUAUUGCUUUCAUUACACACACACACACACACACACACACUCUCACCACUUUGGGAAUUGUUGUGCUUAUCUACACAGCCAUAUUUCAGAUUUUCAUAUUACGAGGUUUCACUGAAAUGCCUGUCGGUAAACUCCAGUAUGUACUUUUGAUAAAUGUAUGUUUGUAGAUCAAAGCCCAUGAACAGUAUUGGGAUUUACUUUUUUUUUUAUAUUUUCACAUUGUUGUGUAGAUAAGGGGUACCAAUAAAAUGUGUUCCGGGUUGGAACAAAAGCAUGAAAGACAAGAUGUUGAUUAAGUAACAAGUAAGAUAAAUAACAUUUUAGGAUUAACAGUUGUCUGUUUAUGAGUUACUUCAACCAUUAUUUAGCAGUUACAUAGAAUGUAAAU